ensembl:lncRNA
GUGUGUGUGUGUCUAUAUCUACAUGUAUAUCUACACACACACACACAUAUAUAUACACUUAUAUAAAUACAUAUAAAUGCACUGCAUUAUACAUACCGCAUACUAAUCUCGGAUGACGACACUUCUUUACCUUCCGUCUUUCCUUUGUCAUUUGACAAAAAAAGUAAAUGCAUCACUCUCACAAUGACGGUUUCUUCUCCAAAUCUUCAAAUCGAGUGCCGUCUCCAAAUCUUCUGAGGUUGCGACCUGUUGCGAACAGAAGCAAAUUUUAACACAUUACACUAAUUUGAACCCUCAGGAAUUAACAGCAAUCCCCUAACGAGAAUUGAAAAAUUAAGAUUUAGCAUCAGCGCCAUAAACGAGUGCGCAGUUAGUUUUCAGGCCCCCUGGUGGCAGACACCGAGUAUGACACAUGAACCAAAUGAACCCAAAAACAGAUAUGCACUGCCAGCAAAGUGUCUCUGCCCUCUAUCUGUCUCUCUCUCUGGCUGCCCUCCUUUUCUGCCGAAGCCACAGACCCAGAGGCUUCGGUGUGCAAGUGAGCGAAACACAUAGGUGGUAUAUCUAAAAACAUGUGAUGUGUAUUACAAACCGCCCGGCCUUUGCGCAAUAAAUUGUACGAUAAAUGCGGCACGUCGUGGGUUGAAGAUGUAUAGAAAGCAUGCAGUACCAGAAAACAGCAAACACUUCUCUCUCUCUCUCUUCCUCUCGGUCUCAUAGUGCCCCAGUUUUAAGGCUGCCUAUCUCUUUCGAAACAAGAGUGGAGAGGGAAACAGCAGACAAAAAGGCAGAUCUAGAAUGGCAUGCAGGGAAAAACAACAGUUUGCAGUGUUACAAAUGUUAAAAAAGCCAAACACGGAAUUCUUGUUCACUAUUCCUUCUCGUCCCAACCUAAUUUACCGAAUUUAUGGCGAAACACGCACUUACAGACACGCAUGGUACGCCUCGUAUGUUAUACACUUAAAGAGUUGUCACGAAAUCCGCUAUAGCGUCUCCAGACGUUCGCUUCCUUAGAGCCGUACGAUAAACUAGUUUCCUCCAUCCCUGUUUGACUUCUAUCUCGCCCUGUGCUCUCCUCUCUUCUUCUUCCUCCUAGCAUGGCGAUGAUGCUCUGACACUCGUGGCGAUCAGAGGCGGCGCAGCUCAUGAGAUAGAGGAGAAGGGCAACGCAAUGCGGAUCCUGGCAGACCGUGUGAGCGGCCAGACAGUCAGCGGGACAGACAGAGGAGGAGGAGGAGACUGUGAUCAUUCAUAUGAGUGCUGGAGAGAUGAUUGGGAGGCUAAUUGC